rnacentral:misc_RNA from 1 species
UCAGCAGACGGAAGGCCUCAAGCGUAACGGAGCAGACUGCGUGCAGUUCUACGGCUCUCUCGGGCUGUUUGGCUAAUUCCCAUGGCUGUUUUUGGUCUACGUAUUCGUUGACUUUGUUAGCGAGCUCCAUCACGGCGCGAAGGGCUUUACCGUAUUCACGACUUUCGAAAGAA